rnacentral:rRNA from 1 species
UACGGAGGAUGCAAGUGUUAUCCGGAAUCACUGGGCGUAAAGCGUCUGUAGGUGGUCAAAUAAGUCAACUGUUAAAUCUUGAGGCUUAACCUCAAAAUCGCAGUCGAAACUAUUAGACUAGAGUAUAGUAGGGGUAAAGGGAAUUUCCAGUGGAGCGGUGAAAUGCGUAGAGAUUGGAAAGAACACCGACGGCGAAGGCACUUUACUGGGCUAUUACUAACACUCAGAGACGAAAGCUAGGGUAGCAAAUAGG